rnacentral:miRNA from 1 species
GUAAGAAGGGCUCUGGGUACGAGAAUGGUGCAAAAGUCGCACCAUUCUCGUACCCAGAGCCCUUCUUAC